UACAAGGCUUCAGAUAUCCGUGGAGGAGAAAGUGUCUGAUCUCGUUCAAGGAAGGAGAACAUCAUACCCAGCUAAUUUCUGGGAAAAGAGCCCGCAAAUAUUUCACAUUCAUAGUCCUGGAAAAUGAUCAAUUUAGUUAAAAGUCUGGGAAAAACACAACAAAACACACUCCUCUCCCAUCUUUGCAGCUUGGAUGGCAGACUGCUGGCAGGUUCACCUGUGAACAACCUCACUGAACGAGUAUGGCAUCUCUUUCCUGAUGUGACCCUGAUACAGAAUUGCUUAUUGCUUUUAAAAUCGAGAACCAAGCCUAACUGCAAACAUUAAAAAGGUUAGCCAUCGGAGCUCUAUAGGUU